GUAACAUGGAUUGCUUGCAAUCUGAUGACGAGUGGCGCACGGGUGCGUAACGCGUAUGCAAUCUACCUUUUACAGGAGAAUAGCCCAGAGAAAUUUGGAAUAAUGCUCCAUAAUAUCAUUUAUCAGCAUUGGUUUAUGAUUAAAGCUCCGGCGGUAAAAGAUGAGCAUGCGUUCUAUUAGCUAGUAGGUGAGGUAACGGCUCACCUAGGCUACGACAGAUAGGGGCCCUGAGAGGGGGAUCCCCCACACUGGUACUGAGACACGGACCAGACUCCUACGGGAGGCAGCAGUGAGGAAUAUUGGACAAUGGAGGAAACUCUGAUCCAGCCAUGCCGCGUGCAGGAUGACUGCCCUAUGGGUUGUAAACUGCUUUUAUAUAGGAAGAAACACUCCCACGUGUGGGGGCUUGACGGUACUAUAUGAAUAAGGAUCGGCUAACUCCGUGCCAGCAGCCGCGGUAAUACGGAGGAUCCAAGCGUUAUCCGGAAUCAUUGGGUUUAAAGGGUCCGCAGGCGGCCUGUUAAGUCAGAGGUGAAAUCCUACAGCUCAACUGUAGAACUGCCUUUGAUACUGAUAGGCUUGAGUUAUUGUGAAGUGGUUAGAAUGUGUGGUGUAGCGGUGAAAUGCUUAGAUAUCACACAGAAUACCCAUUGCGAAGGCAGAUCACUAACAAUAUACUGACGCUCAUGGACGAAAGCGUGGGGAGCGAACGGGAUUAGAUACCCCGGUAGUCCACGCCGUAAACGAUGGAUACUAACUGUUCGACCUUCGGGUUGAGUGGUCAAGCGAAAGUGAUAAGUAUCCCACCUGGGGAGUACGCUC
rnacentral:rRNA from 1 species